rnacentral:rRNA from 1 species
CUACGGGUCGCACCAGUAACGAAUAUUGCGCAAUGAGCGAAAGCUUGACGCAGCGACGCCGCGUGUAGGAGGAAGUCCCUCGGGAUGUAAACUACUGUCAGGGUAAAGAAAGUGCACUUCGGUGUAUUGAUCUACCCCAGAGGAAGUCACGGCUAACUUCGUGCCAGCAGCCGCGGUAAGACGAAGGUGGCAAGCGUUGUUCGGUAUUACUGGGCUUAAAGCGUGUGUAGGCGGAUAGAUUAGCGUUUUGUGAAAUCCCUCGGCUCAACCGAGGAAUUGCUUGACGAACUGUCUAUCUUGAGGCAAGUAGGGGUACACGGAACUCUUGGUGGAGCGGUGGAAUGCGUAGAUAUCAAGAGGAACGCCAGUGGUGAAGACGGUGUACUGGGCUUGAUCUGACGCUGAGACACGAAAGCGUGGGGAGCAAACAGGAUUAGAUACCCGGGUAGUC